rnacentral:rRNA from 1 species
AGAGUUUGAUCAUGGCUCAGAUUGAACGCUGGCGGCAUGCCUUACACAUGCAAGUCGAACGGCAGCACGGGAGCAAUCCUGGUGGCGAGUGGCGAACGGGUGAGUAAUAUAUCGGAACGUGCCCAGUCGUGGGGGAUAACGCAGCGAAAGCUGUGCUAAUACCGCAUACGAUCUACGGAUGAAAGCGGGGGAUCGCAAGACCUCGCGCGAUUGGAGCGGCCGAUAUCAGAUUAGGUUGUUGGUGGGGUAAAAGCCCACCAAGCCGACGAUCUGUAGCUGGUCUGAGAGGACGACCAGCCACACUGGAACUGAGACACGGUCCAGACUCCUACGGGAGGCAGCAGUGGGGAAUUUUGGACAAUGGGCGCAAGCCUGAUCCAGCAAUGCCGCGUGCAGGAUGAAGGCCUUCGGGUUGUAAACUGCUUUUGUACGGAACGAAACGGUCUGCUCUAAUACAGUGGGCUAAUGACGGUACCGUAAGAAUAAGCACCGGCUAACUACGUGCCAGCAGCCGCGGUAAUACGUAGGGUGCGAGCGUUAAUCGGAAUUACUGGGCGUAAAGCGUGCGCAGGCGGUUAUAUAAGACAGAUGUGAAAUCCCCGGGCUCAACCUGGGACCUGCAUUUGUGACUGUAUAGCUAGAGUGCGGCAGAGGGGGAUGGAAUUCCGCGUGUAGCAGUGAAAUGCGUAGAUAUGCGGAGGAACACCGAUGGCGAAGGCAAUCCCCUGGGCCUGCACUGACGCUCAUGCACGAAAGCGUGGGGAGCAAACAGGAUUAGAUACCCUGGUAGUCCACGCCCUAAACGAUGUCAACUGGUUGUUGGGUCUUCACUGACUCAGUAACGAAGCUAACGCGUGAAGUUGACCGCCUGGGGAGUACGGCCGCAAGGUUGAAACUCAAAGGAAUUGACGGGGACCC